GCCGGAGUGGUGGAAUUGGCAGACGCGCUGGUUUCAGGGAUCAGUGGGCAAUAGCCCGUGUGGGUUCGAGUCCCACCUCCGGCA
rnacentral:tRNA from 1 species